UACAGGGGUGGCAAGCGUGGAUGGGAAUGACUGGGCGUAAAGGGCGCGAAGGCGUCCUUCUAAGUCGGACGUGAAAGCCCCAGGCUUAACCUGGGAACUGCGUCCGAUACUGGAAGGCUUGGAUUCGGGAGAGCGAUGUGGAAUUCCAGGUGUAGCGGUGAAAUGCGUAGAUAUCUGGAGGAACCCCGGUGGCGAAGGCGGCAUCCUGGACCGACAUCGACGCUGAGGCGCGUAAGCUAGGGGAGCAGACGGG
rnacentral:rRNA from 1 species